CAAUAAUCAUGCUGUUAGAAGGUCUUCUUCUAGUCAAAACCAUAGAUCAGCAUAUUUUUCCAAUCGUAACCUUCAGAGUACCUUUGACCAUCAUGGUUCGAACUCUAGAGUACAAAAUGCAUUUGAAGAUAGAUAUGAUCCAUCUGAAUCAAAUGAUUUGUAUGAAGAUGAUAUCUUCAAUGGCCGGAAGUUAGGCUAGAAUAAUAAAGUUUUAGAGUACUAGAAAUGCUGUGUAAAACCAUGAACUUUGCUAUUCUAUAAAGAGCAUUAUCCAGGGUGCUGUAUAAAUUCAUGAGCUUUGCGGGUAAGAAGUUAUCAAGCUUCAGCUUUAUGCAAACUUGUAUCCUCCUCUGUAUCCUUGAUUAUUUUAUUGUUUGCUUUUAAUCUUCCAGAAAACUUGGUAGCAAUUAUUUCUUUCUCCUCAUCUUCAUUUAUUAGAAAAUAAUGGAAAUGAUGGGUAUCAAUAUUAGGAUAUCAACUUCAUCAUAUCACUUAUAACACAAGAGUACUCGUUCAUUAUAUUGGGACUGUCUGUAUUUUAGUCACUGCCUUUUUUAUCAUUGUGAUCACUUGCUAUGGUUUUCUUUUGUUAAUUCUUAAGGUACAAGGAUGAAGUUAAUUGGAGUAAUUAAGAUAUUUGGGGAAAUUUUUAGUAAUUUGGGAAAUGGAUGAGCCAUGUCUUAUGAAUGUGCAUCUGAGUUGGACAAGCAGGAUAAUGAUUCAGUAUGCACCUUUAGCUUCAUUUUUAAAUUUUAAAUUGGACAAGAUGACUUGCUACCAGGUUUUUGCUAGAACUUUCUACAGAUUUUAUCUGCAGGAUGGAACUCCAUUUCAGACUAAUAAGAGAUUUUUACUUGUUUAACUCUCAUAGCUGGUUCCAAAUUAAAAAGUCAUUUUUAUAUUCCAACAAUUCUUUUGCUGUUUCGCUGGUCAUUUACAAUCUGUACUAUGAAUUCUCUGUAAUCAAUUGUUUGUCUAACCUUGUGGAAGCCAAAAAAUUUCCAAAACACUCUUCAGAGAACAGUAUACUGCAUGUUGAUAGGCUAAGGUAGUAGUUUGUAUAUGCUAUUGUAUUUCAAAUGAUAUUCUCAUGAGUUAAUUCUUCUUUUAGGAUGUAUCUUUUUGGGGGUUCUCUAAAUUCUAGAUGGAGGUUGCUUGCACAUAUGGAAGUAGUUCCCACAUUCAUACUGGAUUUGCAGGAACCAUUUGUUACAAGGCGGUUGAAAGAAAUCUUGAUGAUGGCCUUCCCAAACUGGUUGAUUUUGUUUUUAAAGACAAAACGGCAUGGUAUACCUUUCUUCCUAUGUAUUCACCUUGUGUUGUUUGAUAUCAUCCCAGGUGGCUAUUCUGCUGACAGACAUAACAAGGUAGCCAUAGUAUUAGCAGCAACUUGGUGACUUUUAUGUAAAAUGGAUGAUAUGGUAUACUUCCCUCUUCUCAAGAAAUCUUUACUUAUCUGAACAACCUUAGACUUGUUAGCUUGCUUUUGUAAAUCAUCUUCUUUUAAUCAACACGUGCAAGAAUGUAAUAUUUUGUUGUCUAUAUAAGGUAAUAUCAUA